rnacentral:rRNA from 1 species
GGCAUGACUCUCGGCAAUGGAUAUCUCGGCUCUUGCAUCGAUGAAGAGCGCAGCGAAAUGCGAUACGUGGUGCGAAUUGCAGAAUCCCGCGAAC